CAAACCAACAACAACGACAACAAAAAAACACUACUUAAUUCCACAUUACAUUAUUGAUUUUAAAAUUCAUCCUCCUUUUUGAGACAGGGUCCCACAUAGUCCAGGCUGGCUUCCGGUCCUCUGUGUAGUUGGGAUUACCAGUGUAUGCCCACUUCUGGUUGCAACAGGGUUUCGAGUGUUUGUUUUCGCACUGCUGGUGAUAAAGCCCGGUGCCUUAUUCAUGCUGGUUACCGUACUAGCUCCACUACGGAGCCCCGCCCCGGCUGUGGGCGUGGCUCUGACUGCUGCAAAGUGGAUUGCUCACCGGCAUCUUGAGCAACACAGUCACCCCAGUCAUCCUGGGCGACACUUGACACAGAUCCUCUUCGUCUUGUGCUGAGGAUGACCUGAACGUCUGAUCCUCCUUCGAAGCACCUCAUGGAGUGCUCAAAGACAUAUGCCACUACAUGGAGAUUUAUUCUGUACUAAGGAUCAGACUCAGCCUCAGGCAUACUGGAUGAGCUACAACCCCAGCCCCAAACAGUUCAUUUCCAGCUCAGCCAGAGAAAAGAACACUUCUAACGAUUGAUUGGCUAGUUAACUAAUUAUUUAGACAGGGCUUGUCUAGCUCAUGCCAGCCUGACUCACUAUAGUGUCCACAGCGAUCCCCCUGUCUCUACUGCCCAGUUGCUAGAUUAGAGGUACGAAUCACUACACCCAGCUGCUUUUGUUUCUCGUUCGUUUGCUCUAGUGAGUGAAUCUCACUAUGCCACAAUCACAAUCCUCUGGGGCCACAGGAUGAGGCAUGGCUCCAACUUUCCAGCCAACCUAUGCUAGAGAACUCUGUCUAAAAAUCCAGAAAGCUAGAAUGUGCUUUGUGGUGCCUCUGCUUAGUUAUUUAUUAUUUUGGUGCUGGGGACUGAU
rnacentral:sRNA from 1 species